UGACUAUUCAAAAUAUAUAACCAAACUUUGCUUUAAAUUGUUUUUAUGUAACAAUGGUUUAUCGUUAGUUACAAAUAUAAAUUAAAUAAUUUUAUGUAUUCCACUUUCCCAACUACUCAUGUACAACAGUGCUAGGGACGGGUGUCGCCGUCCCUAGAAUCAGUUUUUUUAAAAUUAUUAUUCUCUAGACAUUUUAGCUACAAGUUAUUUCAUCUUAAUAUAGAAUAAAUAAUGGAUGAUAAUA